rnacentral:lncRNA from 1 species
UAGCAAAAACAGAUGAUCCCAUCCCCCUUCAUAUAAAACCUAACAACAGAUCCCUCUUCUCAGAAAAUGGAUUCCCCCCCCCUUUGUUAGAAAACCCUAGUCUCCACCCUCUUCUUCUUCAUUCCCUCCAAUCUACAUACACUUCUCACACCUACUCUCUCGUUCGCACCUCACGCACACACACUCAAUCACAUACACACGCCUGAACUAACAAGAGAAGAAGCUUGCACUUCAAAAUUUAAGAUCUAGAAAAUUUCAAAAGAAGAGAGAAAAAAUCAAAAUAAAUAAAUAAAUUAAAAGGCUAUUGAAAUUUCUGCAACAUGGCUUGAUCGUUUCUGGGUUUCGAAGGUUGUUUGAGUUGUAAAUGUGUUGUUCGUUUGCUGAUUCUGUUGCUCUUCUCUGCUGAAGCCCAUUCCGACUAAUUUCUGGCCUUUAUUUGGUACUUCGUACUGUUCCCUUACUUCCAAUAAGUAAGUUCUGACUACUCAUGUAUUCAUAUUUCUCUUUUGAUGCAAAAAUAUUAUUUUCACGGCUCGAUUUGUUGAAUGUUUGCGUUAAAAUGGCGAUAUGAACUGAUUUGCAGUCCUAUUUGUCGUAUUACUUGACAAUGAACUUAAGUGGAUUGUGAAACCGUGAAUUCUCUCUGUAAUUUCUGAUACUGAUUUCCUUAUCUCAUGAUUCGAUUAAACAUUAUUUGUGUCUUCUAUUAAAAAUGUAUAAUAGAAGCAUAAAUUAGUUUCUUUAGAUGAGAAUAUCUUUAAGCUGUUCUAAUAUUAUUUUUUUCCUUAGGAUCUGUGAUUAUUGUUGCUUCUUAAUUAUGAUGUGAAUUGGCAUUCUAUAGAGGUUUUCUAUCUAUUCUUGUUCCCAUCUAUCUUUUUCUUUAUAUUUCAUUAUUAUAUUUUGACCAUUAAGUUACAAUUGAGUGGCAUGCAUUGAUUAAACUUUUAAGGUAAACUGCAGAAGUGAUAUUAAUUUUCAACAUGAUGUAUGUCACCAGAAGUUCAUUUAUAAGCUCAUUUUCCUACAACAUUUCAUAGCAUGUGAAGUUUUGUAUCCAUAUAUUUGAUUUUAUAUAUAUUGCACUAUACCGGUGGUCUUCUAGAAAAUUUCACUUUUAUCUGGUUCUUUAGCGAUAGCUUGUUAUAGCUAUGAAUGAGAUGGCACCAUGAGAAUUCUAGCUCGAGUGUUUUUGAAUUCAUAUGCUGGAUACAAGUUUGUAUUUUUAUGUGCCGGGAUCAAAGUUAUGUGACUAAAAUUAGAGGAGUAGUUGCAGUUAUAAAUUUGUAAUUAUUGCACCAAAAAAUAUGACACUAGAAAGGCAGGGAGUCAGCAUCUGAAGAAACUGAUGUGAGUUAAUGGGACAGUAUGGAUGUAAAUUCUUUCCACAAUCAUUUAGUCCUAAACCUUAGGAAUAUUAAACAACUUUUCAAUAUUCGCAGUAUGCAUUAUGUGUGCUUUUAAUUUAUUAUCGUGAUUGUGUAUACGUUCGCAUGACAUAAUUAUGAUUCCCAAAAUAAAAUCAAAGUACGCAUUCGUGUGACUUUGGCUGAACAAUCCUCUUAAUUAAUAAAGCGUGAUCAAUUGUGUACACAUACGCGUGACAUUAUUUUAGCGCACCAAUUAAUGCGGAUUUAUACACAUGUGAUCCGUUUUAAAGAUAAAUCCAUAACGCCAUAAUUAAAAAGAGGAAAAAGGUAAAAUACACAUAGAUUUUAAAUACGUAAUUAAUUAAUUAAGCCGGGUAUGAUAAAAGCGACCUUGCUAAAACCACAAAAUCCUGAAAUACCUAACACCUUCUCUCAUGUUAAUAGAAUUUCUUACCCGGUCUUCUGAUUUUUGCGAACUUUAAAACAGAGUCAAACUUUCUCGAUUUGGGAUUUUAAAAUAAACUGGUGACUUGGGACACCAUAAAAUUAUUGCAAGUGGCGACUCUAAAUUAAAUUAAUAAUUCCAUUUCGAAUAAUGUCACUUUAACACUCUAUUCCUCGGAAAAAGGAGGUGUGACAUGAACAAGUGUCAACCAUAAACCUUUCUAAUAAUCAUGGUUGAAAGCAGUUACGAAACAUAACUUGAAUCGCGAAACCCUAGAUUAGUAGAGAGAAAUUGUUCUUGAGUUCUUGUUGAGAAUCUAGUGAUUUUGAGAUGAAAUAUUAUUAGAAUUGAUGUUUGAAAGUAGUAUUCUAACGUUAAUCGCAUUGAAAACUCACGUUAGGUAGUAUGAGAACCCUUGGAUGACUUGAGGAUGAGAUGAGAGGUUUAAUCUUUAAAGAAUGAAGCUAUUUUCUCUCUCCCCAUCCCUUUUAUAUCAAUUUCAUGUCUUGGGCGCCACAACCAAAGCCCAGCGGUCUCCACGGCACCAAAAUAAAAUUGUUUCUGGUUUUGGCAUUAUGACGGGCUACCCGCUCCCCCUGGGCGCCCAAAAACACAACCCAUUUAUCUAACAAGAUAGUCUUUAGUAAAAUGCCUAUAACUUUUUAUAGGAAUAUAAAAUGAAGAACGGUUUGAAGUUUUGAAAACUAGACUUCAAGGGCUUUAAUUUCACCACAUAACUCAUAAUAGAUUGGGAGAUAUACGUGUUUUAAUUUAGAUCUCUUGUGAUUAUAAUUGUGUUCUUACCAAGAUAGAGCUUGCCGCAGGUCAGAUUUAAUCAUAGGAAAGAAAGAUUGCUCAUGCUAGGCGUAAAGGAAGAAGUUCAAAAGAUUCAGGUUGCUAAAAUUCUCAAGCGACAAGUCCAG